rnacentral:lncRNA from 1 species
CCUGCCGCGAGCGCUCCCUGCGUAGUGACUUGUGCUGACACAACGCACCGCAUCUGGUGGAGAGAGCUUUCCGGGUGACUCACGUCGUUGCAAUUUGCUUUUGUUUCUGGGGUGUUUUAGCUGCAGUUUUCUUCCCUCUGGUUUUAAUUUUGAGAGGAAAGGAAGAAAAAAAAAAAAACAAAUGAAUCAAGAAUGAGUGUCCUUUCCAGUAACCCUCCCCCACUUUAAAGUUGACUGUCUUAACAAGUUUGAUAACUACCCAAGACGUGCGGGGGUGGCACAGGCGUUUGCCGUGGCGGAUGUAACCUGUGCAGCUCCUUCCUUCUACUGCUGCUUUGCAUUGGUGU